GACGAACGCUGGCGGCGUGCUUAACACAUGCAAGUCGAACGGAAAGGCCCUGCUUUUGUGGGGUGCUCGAGUGGCGAACGGGUGAGUAACACGUGAGUAACCUGCCCUUGACUUUGGGAUAACUUCAGGAAACUGGGGCUAAUACCGGAUAGGAGCUCCUGCUGCAUGGGGGGGGUUGGAAAGUUUCGGCGGUUGGGGAUGGACUCGCGGCUUAUCAGCUUGUUGGUGGGGUAGUGGCUUACCAAGGCUUUGACGGGUAGCCGGCCUGAGAGGGUGACCGGCCACAUUGGGACUGAGGUACGGCCCAGACUCCUACGGGAGGCAGCAGUGGGGAAUAUUGCACAAUGGGCGGAAGCCUGAUGCAGAAACGCCGCGUGCGGGAUGACGGCCUUCGGGUUGUAAACCGCUUUCGCCCGUGACGAAGCGUGAGUGACGGUAAUGGGUAAAGAAGCACCGGCUAACUACGUG
rnacentral:rRNA from 1 species